GGGGUUGUGGCUCAGUGGUAGAGUGCUUGCCUGGUAUGUGCAAGACCCUGGAUUCGAUUCUCAGCACCACA
rnacentral:tRNA from 1 species